rnacentral:rRNA from 1 species
GGGGAAUCUUCCGCAAUGGACGAAAGUCUGACGGAGCAACGCCGCGUGUAUGAUGAAGGUCUUCGGAUUGUAAAGUACUGUCAUUGGGGAAGAACGGUUUUCUUGAAAAGAUUGAGAAGACAUGACGGUACCCAAGGAGGAAGCCCCGGCUAACUACGUGCCAGCAGCCGCGGUAAUACGUAGGGGGCAAGCGUUGUCCGGAAUUAUUGGGCGUAAAGGGCGCGUAGGCGGGCCUUUAAGUCCGGUGUGAAAGAUCAGGGCUCAACCCUGAGAGUGCAUCGGAAACUGGAGGACUUGAGGACAGGAGAGGAAAGUGGAAUUCCACGUGUAGCGGUGAAAUGCGUAGAUAUGUGGAGGAACACCAGUGGCGAAGGCGACUUUCUGGACUGUAACUGACGCUGAGGCGCGAAAGCGUGGGGAGCAAACA